AUGAGCAGGCCCCGCCGUCGCCCCCUCUCGCCGGCGCCGCUGGACGACGACGACCUCCUCUCCGAGAUCCUCCUCCGCCUCCCCCCGCUGCCCUCCUCCCUCCCCCGCGCCUCCGCCGUCUGCAGGCGCUGGCGCCGCCUCGCCUCCGACCCCUGCUUCUGCCGCCGCUUCCGCGGCACCACCGGCUUUAGCGCCCAAUUGUGGAAGUGGAACAGCGAUUGCGAUGGUGCGGCUUCAUGGGUGCUGGAAAGAAGUAUUGAAUUGGACAAGCUGCUUUCCCUGAAUCCAGACGACGAGAGAGAGCGCCCAAUUGUUGCAGGGUUCGCUGAGGACAAUAAUGUGGUGUUACUGUGGUCAUUCGUUGGUGUCCUCACGCUCCAGCUCAAAUCAUUGCACUCGAAGAAACUUUUUAGAGUUAAAUGCUGGUUUUGCUGUCUUCCAUUUGAAGGGGUCUAUACUGAUGGUGAAAUAAUACCAAGUUAUUUUAUAUUAUUGGAUUAUUAUUGUUGA
rnacentral:rRNA from 1 species